rnacentral:lncRNA from 1 species
AGACAUCGGUAUCCUGACAUUCUGUAUAUUUUAAUUCGUGGCUAUGGUACAUUCACUUUACCUAGAUCUGUUCAAGUCUAUUCAGUAUUUCGACUGACAGUAAAAGUUCAGAAAGUUUAUUAUCGACAAAUUUUAUUUGCGAUUCAAAUAAUUAAACUCUUAGUAAAGUUAUAAAAGUAUUUUAUUUUAAUUCUUGAAAUAUGGUGAGUAGAACUUGGUAAUUAUUAAUAUAUUUCAUUAAUAAUUACAUUAUAAUAUUGUUAAUCUACCUAAUGAUAUGUAUUUUAUAUAAAUUAAGGAAAAUUCUAUCCCAAUUGAAAUCCAUGCUCAAAAAUUGAGUGAAUGGUUAAUGAGUAGAAAACACUGUAAGAAAGAUUGGCAUUCACAUAUACAAUUAAUUAGAGAAAAAAUCAACACAGCUAUACAAGACAUGCCCGAAAAUAAGGAAAUCGUUCAACUGUUGUCUGGAACUUGUAUGUAUUAAAAACCUUAUAUUUUUAUUAAUAUUUUCCAUUGAUUUUUUUUUUUUUUUGUAUUAGAUAUUAAUUAUUUCUAUUGCAAACGUAUAAUUGAAAUAUUAAAAGAAACCGAAGCGAACACAAAAAAUUUAUUUGGAUCAUAUGGUUCACAGAGAAUGAAGGAUUGGUUAGAAAUCGAAAAACUUUACUUAAAAGACAAUGUAUAUCUGGCGGAAGCUUGUGAUCUUCUUGUACAAAACAUCAAGUACCAUAUACCCGCAAUCAAGAAGCAAAUAACUAAAACACAGUCUGGUCAAUCAGUAAGACAAUUAUAAAUAAUAUAAAAUCCUUUUAGUGAUAUUUUUAAUUUUUAUUUAAUUUGUAUUGUAUAGGAUUGUGAUAAAAAAAUUGAAGAUUACACUAAAUCUAUUCAAACAUCACGUAAAGAUCUGGAAUCACUACAAAAACAGUUUUCCAUUUCUGGGGACAGUAACAGUUUUAAACGUACACUUAUUGAAAGAAUUUGUGAACUUAAAAAAGUUUACGAAGAUGUUAUGGAACAUGUAAAAAUUCUUAAGAAAGCAAAUACUUAUUUUUCUUCUUUUAUCACAGAUAUUCUGGGUUUAAAUAUUAACCUUACUAUGCUUCAAUAUAUAUUAAGUAAUAAUUAUUGUCCUUAAAAAUAUUAUUUUCAUCCAUAUUGUUUAAAAUAGCAGACUAAUACUUUCAGAUAAUGGCAACACUACCUAUUAUGAAUACCUAUAUGGGGAGAAACCAAGUCGAAUAGAAGAACCCGUAAUUUCAAUUGAAGAAAAUAAUAAAGUAUGUUUAUUUAUAGAUACAAAUUGAGUGUCGGUUAAAAGACAUUUUAUUUAUUGUAGGAUACAAUUGAUGAUGAAGAAAUUGACUGGGGUGAUCUGGAUAAUCCAUCUGAAGUGUGUAAAUUAUAAAUUAAAAUUACAUUAUACAACUGAAUGUGAUAUUGCAUUAUUAAAAAAAAAAAAUAAUAUUUUAAACUAUAAAAUAUCCUCAUUGUAUGCAGGGUAUUGACUAUGGUAUUACUUUGGAAGAAAGUGGAAUAGUUGUUGAAAGUCUACAAACUGAUGAAAGUAUUGCCAGGGGUAACGAAGCUUUGACUUUAUUGGAUAAUUUAAAAACAAGAAGCGAGUUAAUGAACGAUAUUUUAGAAGUGAGAUACUAUAGUAAAUUUGUGUUGUACUGUAGAAUUAUUUAUCAAUAUAUUAUCAAAUUUUCAAUACAAGCCAUAAUAUAUUUAUAUAUAUCAUAUUUAUUAUUGUUUUUUUUUUUAGUUAGAAUCAUUUUUAAAUAUGCGGUUGCUAGGAUUGUCAAAUUCUACAUUAUCUGUCCAAUCUGGAGUUGAAAUAAAUGAAUCCAAACCAGAGAUAGUAUCCAUGUUAGAUGUUAUAAAAGUAAUCAAGCAAAAGCUAAAUGAUCCAGUUGUACAACAUUUACAGCAAAUUAAACAUUCACAGAGGUAAAAAAUCAAAAGGUUUUAAUGAUUUUAGUUGUAUAACACAGAACGUUAAUAUUUUUUCAUUUUUUUUUUAAAACAAAAAUAAUCAGAUAUUUAAAUAAGCUGGAGGCAACAUUUUUUCAAAAAGUCAAUAAUAUAGAGAAAAUGAUCAAUUCUCAGAUAGCUGUAAGACACCGAAAAAAGGAAUUAGCCGAUGAAUAUGACCAACUAGUUCCUAAGUUAAAAUUGAUACAACAAAAAAACAAGCAAUUAAUAACAGAAGUGAGUAUUUUUAUUUUCUGUUAACGAUUUUUACAAAAAAUCGUAUUUCGAUAUAUUCUAGUAGUAACAUUUGUCUAACUGGUGAAUUAGGGAGAUAAUUGGUUA